UGGGGAAUCUUGCACAAUGGGGGAAACCCUGAUGCAGCGACGCCGCGUGAGCGAUGAAGCCCUUCGGGGUGUAAAGCUCUCUCGGCAGGGACGAUAAUGACGGUACCUGCAGAAGCAGCUGCGGCUAACUACGUGCCAGCAGCCGCGGUAAUACGUAGGCAGCGAGCGUUGUUCGGAGUUACUGGGCGUAAAGGGUGUGUAGGCGGUUCUCUAAGUUUGGUGUGAAAUCUCCCGGCUCAACCGGGAGGGUGCGCCGAAAACUGGGGGACUAGAGUGCGGGAUGGGA
rnacentral:rRNA from 1 species